AUUGAACGCUGGCGGCAUGCCUAACACAUGCAAGUCGAACGGAAACGAUGGGAGCUUGCUCCCAGGCGUCGAGUGGCGGACGGGUGAGUAAUACUUAGGAAUCUGCCCAUUAGUGGGGGACAACAUUCGGAAACGGAUGCUAAUACCGCAUACGCCCUACGGGGGAAAGCGGGGGAUCUUCGGACCUCGCGCUAAUGGAUGAGCCUAAGUCGGAUUAGCUUGUUGGUGAGGUAACGGCUCACCAAGGCGACGAUCCGUAGCUGGUCUGAGAGGACGAUCAGCCACACUGGGACUGAGACACGGCCCAGACUCCUACGGGAGGCAGCAGUGGGGAAUAUUGCACAAUGGGCGCAAGCCUGAUGCAGCAAUGCCGCGUGUGUGAAGAAGGCCUGCGGGUUGUAAAGCACUUUCAGUAGAGAAGAAAAGCCUACGGUUAAUACCCGUGAGUCUUGACGUAACCUACAGAAGAAGCACCGGCUAACUCCGUG
rnacentral:rRNA from 1 species